rnacentral:misc_RNA from 1 species
UAAGCGAGUGUUUUUAUGGCACUUUUUAAAAAUCCAUAUCCACCUUGUGUGCAAUGUUAGAUCUCGUCAAUCUUGGCGAGAUUUUUAUACAUCAACUCAUUCUUUAACUAAUUUGUCUGAAAAAUAUUAUGAAUACUUAAUUCAAAAUA